rnacentral:sRNA from 1 species
CAUUUCGUCUUAGCCACGCAGAAGUCGCGUGUCUAGGUGAGUCGCGGUGGGUCCUCGCUUGCAGUUCAGCGACCACGUUUGUUUCGACGCCGGACCGCGUAAGAGACGAUGAUGUUGGGCACGGAAGGUGGAGAGGGAUUCGUGGUGAAGGUCCGGGGCUUGCCCUGGUCUUGCUCGGCCGAUGAAGUGCAGAGGUUUUUUUCUGACUGCAAAAUUCAAAAUGGGGCUCAAGGUAUUCGUUUCAUCUACACCAGAGAAGGCAGACCAAGUGGCGAGGCUUUUGUUGAACUUGAAUCAGAAGAUGAAGUCAAAUUGGCCCUGAAAAAAGACAGAGAAACUAUGGGACACAGAUAUGUUGAAGGUUUGAUUUACAUUGCCCUAGUUACAGUAAAUAAAGCAUUAAACAAUAGAAGUCUCACCCCUUCUGAAUUUUAGGUAUUUGACUGCAUGGAAAUGGUCAUCUAAGGGAGUUUGUGGCAGCUCUUCCUAGCUUAUCUAAAGACCCAGGAAGUCUGAACUUUGUUAUCUAAUUUUCCAAAAGUGACUAAUUCUAAGCACCUCUUACAGUAUUCAAGUCAAACAACGUUGAAAUGGAUUGGGUGUUGAAGCAUACUGGUCCAAAUAGUCCUGACACGGCCAAUGAUGGCUUUGUACGGCUUAGAGGACUUCCCUUUGGAUGUAGCAAGGAAGAAAUUGUUCAGUUCUUCUCAGGGUUGGAAAUCGUGCCAAAUGGGAUAACAUUGCCGGUGGACUUCCAGGGGAGGAGUACGGGGGAGGCCUUCGUGCAGUUUGCUUCACAGGAAAUAGCUGAAAAGGCUCUAAAGAAACACAAGGAAAGAAUAGGGCACAGGUAUAUUGAAAUCUUUAAGAGCAGUAGAGCUGAAGUUAGAACUCACUAUGAUCCACCACGAAAGCUUAUGGCCAUGCAGCGGCCAGGUCCUUAUGACAGACCUGGGGCUGGUAGAGGGUAUAACAGCAUUGGCAGAGGAGCUGGCUUUGAGAGGAUGAGGCGUGGUGCUUAUGGUGGAGGCUAUGGAGGCUAUGAUGAUUACAAUGGCUAUAAUGAUGGCUAUGGAUUUGGGUCAGAUAGAUUUGGAAGAGGUAAGGUAAGAAUUGAAUUUCUCAGUUGAAGGAUGCUUACACUCUUGUCCAUCUAGACCUCAAUUACUGUUUUUCAGGAAUGUCUGAUCACAGAUACGGGGAUGGUGGCUCUACUUUCCAGAGCACAACAGGACACUGUGUACACAUGCGGGGAUUACCUUACAGAGCUACUGAGAAUGACAUUUAUAAUUUUUUUUCACCGCUCAACCCUGUGAGAGUACACAUUGAAAUUGGUCCUGAUGGCAGAGUAACUGGUGAAGCAGAUGUCGAGUUCGCAACUCAUGAAGAUGCUGUGGCAGCUAUGUCAAAAGACAAAGCAAAUAUGCAACACAGAUAUGUAGAACUCUUCUUGAAUUCUACAGCAGGAGCAAGCGGUGGUGCUUACGAACACAGAUAUGUAGAACUCUUCUUGAAUUCUACAGCAGGAGCAAGCGGUGGUGCUUAUGGUAGCCAAAUGAUGGGAGGCAUGGGCUUGUCAAACCAGUCCAGCUACGGGGGCCCAGCCAGCCAGCAGCUGAGUGGGGGUUACGGAGGUGGCUACGGUGGCCAGAGCAGCAUGAGUGGAUACGACCAAGUUUUACAGGAAAACUCCAGUGAUUUUCAAUCAAACAUUGCAUAGGUAACCAAGGAGCAGUGAACAGCAGCUACUACAGUAGUGGAAGCCGUGCAUCUAUGGGCGUGAACGGAAUGGGAGGGAUGUCUAGCAUGUCCAGUAUGAGUGGUGGAUGGGGAAUGUAAUUGAUCGAUCCUUAUCACUGACUCUUGGUCAACCUUUUUUUUUUUUUUUUUAAGAAAAAAACUUCAGUUUAACAGUUUCUGCAAUACAAGCUUGUGAUUUAUGCUUACUCUAAGUGGAAAUCAGGAUUGUUAUGAAGACUUAAGGCCCAGUAUUUUUGAAUACAAUACUCAUCUAGGAUGUAACAGUGAAGCUGAGUAAACUAUAACUGUUAAACUUAAGUUCCAGCUUUUCUCAAGUUAGUUAUAGGAUGUACUUAAGCAGUAAGCGUAUUUAGGUAAAAGCAGUUGAAUUAUGUUAAAUGUUGCCCUUUGCCACGUUACAUUGAACACUGUUUUGGAUGCAUGUUGAAAGACAUGCUUUUAUUUUUUUGUAAAACAAUAUAGGAGCUGUGUCUACUAUUAAAAGUGAAACAUUUUGGCAUGUUUGUUAAUUCUAGUUUGAUUUAAUAACCUGUAAGGCACGUAAGUUUAAGCUUUUUUUUUUUUUUUUAAGUUAAUGGGAAAAAUUUGAGACGCAAUACCAAUACUUAGGAUUUUGGUCUUGGUGUUUGUAUGAAAUUCUGAGGCCUUGAUUUAAAUCUUUCAUUGUAUUGUGAUUUCCUUUUAGGUAUAUUGCGCUAAGUGAAACUUGUCAAAUAAAUCCUCCUUUUAAAAACUG